rnacentral:rRNA from 1 species
UACGAAGGGGGCUAGCGUUGCUCGGAAUCACUGGGCGUAAAGGGUGCGUAGGCGGGUCUUUAAGUCAGGGGUGAAAUCCUGGAGCUCAACUCCAGAACUGCCUUUGAUACUGAGAAGCUUGAGUCCGGGAGAGGUGAGUGGAACUGCGAGUGUAGAGGUGAAAAUUCGUAGAUAUUCGCAAGAACACCAGUGGCGAAGGCGGACUCACUGGCCCGGUACUGACGCUGAGGUGCGAAAGCG